rnacentral:rRNA from 1 species
GACGAACGCUGGCGGCGUGCUUAACACAUGCAAGUCGAACGGAAAGGCCCUGCUUUUGUGGGGUGCUCGAGUGGCGAACGGGUGAGUAACACGUGAGUAACCUGCCCUUGACUUUGGGAUAACUUCAGGAAACUGGGGCUAAUACCGGAUAGGAGCUCCUGCUGCAUGGUGGGGGUUGGAAAGUUUCGGCGGUUGGGGAUGGACUCGCGGCUUAUCAGCUUGUUGGUGGGGUAGUGGCUUACCAAGGCUUUGACGGGUAGCCGGCCUGAGAGGGUGACCGGCCACAUUGGGACUGAGAUACGGCCCAGACUCCUACGGGAGGCAGCAGUGGGGAAUAUUGCACAAUGGGCGGAAGCCUGAUGCAGCAGCGCCGCAUGCGGGAUGACGGCCUUCGGGUUGUAAACCGCUUUCGCCUGUGACGAAGCGUGAGUGACGGUAAUGGGUAAAGAAGCACCGGCUAACUACGUG